CAAACCUACGUGAGCAAUAAAAACACAAAUAAAGAUUUAAUACGGUGGCCGAGAGGGUUUGACUUUGGAUUUAUUCGCUACAAGGUGGCAGCGCGAGGGGGUUUUAUUUUCUCGCGUUGUUUUACGGAAAUGUUCCACCUGAGAGUUGAACUUCCGGAACAGUGACGAUGUCAGCUGACGCUCGUGUAGCGACUGUGUGGAGAGGAUUGGCUCUCAGUAAAAAAAAUCAACUUUCCCCGUGAAAAUAAGGGACUUCCUGUUUGGAUGCAGAGCUGCGUCUCAGGAGGACUGAAGAUUUUCAGACUGGACCACAGAAGAAGAACCUGUCCCGGACUGAACAGGAACCAUGGGGACAGUGAAAAGGUUUGCCUCGUCCUCUGAACCGUCUGAGAGCUUCAGACUGAAAUGAGACCAGGACUGGUUCUUCAGGGAGACUCUGACGGGGCUCUAGGCAGAAACAAAGAAAAGUUAGAGCACUAAAUGUGGGCUGUAGUUAAUGAUGAUUAAUCUGAUUAAUCGUGACAGCACUAAUAAUAAUAAUAAUAGGGAGUAUUAAUAUUUUCCUCAUGAAUUUGAGCUGCACGCUUUCUCUCUGAACUGUUGGUGGAUCUUUAGUCCAGGUUGGUGAUCACAGCUUUAAGGAGGAUUUUUUAAGGUGGAACUCCAGAGUUUUUAGAUUUUAAAGUCUACAAAUGUUUAUAAGACAGUUGAAAACAGAGGGUGGGUCUGUCUGAUAGGAGUGUGUCUCUGGACCCUCUGAACCUUCUCAUGCAAAA